UCUUGACCUAUACUGUCUCAUCACCAACAACGGGGCAUAUCCACUAGCUCCCCAAAUCCCAAGUAAUGGAACCCAAUCAAAAUUACCGCACCUAUACAGGAUCUUAUCUGGAAGUAACCAAGGAGUUCUCCACUCAUGAUCCUCCUCCUGAAGAUUUUGAAGAAUCGCCAUCCACUUCUCCUCUGAAAUGUCAUCCCUUCUCGGCGUAGC
rnacentral:lncRNA from 1 species